AUUGAACGCUGGCGGCAUGCCUUACACAUGCAAGUCGAACGGCAGCACGGGAGCAAUCCUGGUGGCGAGUGGCGAACGGGUGAGUAAUAUAUCGGAACGUGCCCAGUCGUGGGGAUAACGUAGCGAAAGCUACGCUAAUACCGCAUACGAUCUACGGAUGAAAGCGGGGGGAUCGCAAGACCUCGCGCGAUUGGAGCGGCCGAUAUCAGAUUAGGUAGUUGGUGAGGUAAAGGCUCACCAAGCCGACGAUCCUUAGCUGGUCUGAGAGGAUGAUCAGCCACACUGGGACUGAGACACGGACCAGACUCCUACGGGAGGCAGCAGUGGGGAAUUUUGGACAAUGGACGCAAGUCUGAUCCAGCCAUUCCGCGUGCAGGAUGAAGGCCCUCGGGUUGUAAACUGCUUUUGUACGGAACGAAAGGUUUCUAUUAAUACUAGGAGCUCAUGACGGUACCGUAAGAAUAAGCA
rnacentral:rRNA from 1 species